UACAGAGGUCCCAAGCGUUGUUCGGAUUCAUUGGGCGUAAAGGGUGUGUAGGUGGCGCCGUAAGUCGGAUGUGAAAGCCCCUGGCUCAACUGGGGAAGUGCACCCGAAACUGAGUGGCUUGAGUGCGAAAGAGGGUCGCGGAAUUCCCGGUGUAGAGGUGAAAUGCGCAGAUAUCAGGAGGAACACCAAUUGCGAAGGCAGCUCGCUGGGACGUACUGACGCUGAGGCGCGAAAGCGUGGGGAGCAAACAGG
rnacentral:rRNA from 1 species